AGGACGAACGCUGGCGGCGUGCUUAACACAUGCAAGUCGAGCGGAAAGGCCCUUCGGGGUACUCGAGCGGCGAACGGGUGAGUAACACGUGAGCAACCUGCCCCUGGCUCUGGGAUAGCCUCCGGAAACGGGGAUUAAUACCGGACAUUCACUCUUCUGGGCAUCCUAGAGGGUGGAAAGUUUUUCGGCCGGGGAGGGGCUCGCGGCCUAUCAGCUUGUUGGCGGGGUAACGGCCCACCAAGGCGACGACGGGUAG
rnacentral:rRNA from 1 species